AGCGAACGCUGGCGGCAGGCUUAACACAUGCAAGUCGAGCGGGCGUAGCAAUACGUCAGCGGCAGACGGGUGAGUAACGCGUGGGAACAUACCUUCUGGUUCGGAACAACACAGGGAAACUUGUGCUAAUACCGGAUAAGCCCUUACGGGGAAAGAUUUAUCGCCGAAAGAUUGGCCCGCGUCUGAUUAGCUAGUUGGUGAGGUAACGGCUCACCAAGGCGACGAUCAGUAGCNGGUCUGAGAGGAUGAUCAGCCACAUUGGGACUGAGACACGGCCCAAACUCCUACGGGAGGCAGCAGUGGGGAAUAUUGGACAAUGGGCGCAAGCCUGAUCCAGCCAUGCCGCGUGAGUGAUGAAGGCCCUAGGGUUGUAAAGCUCUUUUGUGCGGGAAGAUAAUGACGGUACCGCAAGAAUAAGCCCCGGCUAACUUCGUGCCAGCCGCCGCAGUU
rnacentral:rRNA from 1 species